CCUACGGGAGGCAGCAGUAAGGAAUAUUGGACAAUGCUCGCAAGAGUGAUCCAGCCAUGCCGCGUGCAGGAAGAAUGCCCUAUGGGUAGUAAACUGCUUUUGAACUAGAGAAAACCCCAGUACGUGUACUGGGCUGAUAGUAUAGUUAGAAUAAGCAUCGGCUAACUUCGUGCCAGCAGCCGCGGUAAGACGAAGGAUGCAAGCGUUAUCCGGAUUCAUUGGGUUUAAAGGGAGCGUAGGUGGACUGAUAAGUCAGUGGUGAAAUCUCCGAGCUUAACUCGGAAAUUGCCAUUGAUACUGUUGGUCUUGAGUACAGUUGCUGUGGGCGGAAUAUGACAUGUAGUGGUGAAAUACAUAGAGAUGUCAUAGAACACCGAUUGCGAAGGCAGCUCACAAAGCUGUAACUGACACUGAGGCUCGAAAGUGCGGGGAUCAAACAGGAUUAGAUACCCUGGUAGUCCGCACCGUAAACGAUGAUUACUCGCUGCUAGGGGGCAACCUUUAGUGGCUUAGCGAAAGCGAUAAGUAAUCCACCUGGGGAGUACGCCGGCAACGGUGAAACGUCAAAGGAAUUGACGG
rnacentral:rRNA from 1 species